GUAGGUGAACCUGCGGAAGGAUCAUUAACACAUUAUCCAAAACCUAAAACUUGUUCUGCUAGUGUUUAGAGAGGAUUUAUCCUCUUUACCACACUUUUCUUAUACCUAUUCCAUAAAUAGGCGAUAAAUAAAAUCUAAAAAUUAGAAAAUUUUCAACGAUGGAUAUCUUGGUUCCCAUAACGAUGAAGAACGCAGCGAAAUGCGAUACGCAGUGCGAAUUGCAGAAUACCAGGAGUCAUCAGAUUUUCGAACGCAAACCGCGCCUUGGAAACUUCGGUUUUACUUGGCAUGCUUGUUUCAGUGUCUAGAAUAUCACAAAUCUUAAUAUGAUUGACAAAAAUUGUUCCGGCAAUUGGAGUCUCUCAUCAAACUAGAAUAUGCUUUUAUGUCUGCCCAAUGAAGCAGUCACCUUGUGUGAUCUCAUUGGAAUGGUGUACAGAGCGUAUAGUCUCUUUAAUCUUCCUUUUGUAUCUGAAAUCAAGCAAGACUACCCGCUGAACUUAA
rnacentral:rRNA from 1 species